GACGAACGCUGGCGGCGUGCUUAACACAUGCAAGUCGAACGGAAAGGCCCUGCUUUUGUGGGGUGCUCGAGUGGCGAACGGGUGAGUAACACGUGAGUAACCUGCCCUUGACUUUGGGAUAACUUCAGGAAACUGGGGCUAAUACCGGAUAGGAGCUCCUGCUGCAUGGUGGGGGUUGGAAAGUUUCGGCGGUUGGGGAUGGACUCGCGGCUUAUCAGCUUGUUGGUGGGGUAGUGGCUUACCAAGGCUUUGACGGGUAGCCGGCCUGAGAGGGUGACCGGCCACAUUGGGACUGAGAUACGGCCCAGACUCCUACGGGAGGCAGCAGUGGGGAAGAGUGCACAAUGGGCGGAAGCCUGAUGCAGCAACGCCGCGUGCGGGAUGACGGCCUUCGGGUUGUAAACCGCUUUCGCCUGUGACGAAGCGUGAGUGACGGUAAUGGGUAAAGAAGCACCGGCUAACUACGUG
rnacentral:rRNA from 1 species